GUAACAACGAACUGCGAGAAGUCAGCCGAUGCCAUAGUACCCGAAAAAAAAAUAAUAAUAAUCGGCACGUUCGGGGAAGGGC
rnacentral:ncRNA from 1 species